UACGUAGGGUGCGAGCGUUGUCCGGAAUUAUUGGGCGUAAAGGGCUCGUAGGCGGUUUGUCGCGUCGGGAGUGAAAACUCAGGGCUUAACCCUGAGCCUGCUUCCGAUACGGGCAGACUAGAGGUAUGCAGGGGAGAACGGAAUUCCUGGUGUAGCGGUGAAAUGCGCAGAUAUCGGGAGGAACACCGGUGGCGAAGGCGGUUCUCUGGGCCUUACCUGACACUGAGGAGCGAAAGCGUGGGGAGCGAACAGG
rnacentral:rRNA from 1 species